rnacentral:lncRNA from 1 species
AGUAACUGUCAUCUCCAAAUAAUGAUAAUGUCUUUUGUUCUAAAAUGAGAAGAUAAUGAAGGAAAUAUAACUAUGAAUGUUUACAGGUGUUCUUAUUUUCAUAUGUACAGUAAUGAAGCAGAGUGAUGGGAUAGUAUUCCAUUGCUUCUCUGGCUAUAGGAACUAUGUUAGGUACCUGUUGCAACUUCAUGCAAAAUAGAGCCCUCACUAGUUGCAGCCUUAGCACAUAUGACAGACAAGCUGUUCUGCUAUAAACCAAAGUGAUUUAAGGGCACUCUUCUUUCCCAAUUAUAGUAAUUACUCUGUGGCUUGCUUCUGAGCCUGCUCAUCUUUCCAAUCUUUGCUCUUUCUUAGGACAGUUUUUCUUUAGGGCUGGUUCAGAAAAUCAGUGUACCUUUUGCUCUAGACACUGCCUAUAUUUUCCUGUUGAAUUCCUAGUUUCUUAACUUCACUCUUAUUUUCAUGCCCAUCUUAGGGCUUUGUUUUUAUAAUUCUUAUAUAAUAUUUU